GAACUAUUUCUCCUUCAAGGUCUCUGGCUGUACAGUGUGCCCCCCUCCACCCCCAUUAUCUCUUCAAGCUUCCCUUGCCAGGCUUGUCCUGGCCCAGCCCUCUGCUUUCCAGCAGUGAUUAGGCAACUGCCCUUUGCAAUGGCUGGAGGGCACGCCCUGAUGGUUGCCCAGGGCUCCUGGCCUCACCUGGCCCGAGUCCUGCAAAAGCCCUUUCCAGGGUCCUGAGGAGCUCCCUCCUCUGCUCCCAGGCCAGGUGGUGCUCCCCCAUCAGCCCCCUGACUCCCUGGACAAGAGGGGUCCUUUCCUACUGGCUCCUCCAGUUUGGCUUCAUUUGGAAACUGCUCUCCUGCUUGACUCACCAGAUGUGCGGCCUUAGCCUGUGCCAUCCUGGACUUGAACCACAGGCUGUCAUUGAACACCCUGUGCAUGUGGGGUCACCUGUCUCCAGCAGCAUGCGCUGGGUUCUGUCUCUGGGGUUGGUCCUGGGACCCUUCCCUCAGACUUUGUACAGUCAACCAACUCCUGGUGGUCAGGUCUCUAAAAUUCCCCAUUCUUUCCACCGUAUCUUCUUUCCAGACCUUCGUGGGCCAAGAUGCUCCCUUGAGAUUGAAGGGGAAUAGCUAUUUAAGCAGGGUUCUGCCCAACAUAGAUGCUCAGUUAGUGGGUGGAUGGUUCUUAUCUUGAGCAACGCCACAUUUCCUCUGCCCUCAACACUUUCAAGGUGGCUCAUGUGACCUCUCCCUGGACCAGCCGCUCAGGUGCCAAUCACUUUCUUAGGCACAACUGCACCUCCCUUGGGACAAUGGGAGCAAAGCCCAUCACAUCAGUGGGCCCCUGCUGCUUACAAGUUCAUCAGCUUCCCAACCUGGCAGAAAGGAGCUGGUCCUUGAAGAAAUCUUCUACAGCUAAAAUCUUUAGUAAUUUUAGCAUGAGUCACCCAACUUGGCCUUUUUCUACCCACCCCCAUGAAUUCACUUUACAUGCUUGCUCUGAGUAGGCCAGAGAGGACCUCCCCAAGAGGUAGACACACCUCCGAGGACAUCCCAAAUAUGAGGUGAGAUUUAUCCUUAUUCAGAGACUUUUAACAUCUGGAUAGCGGAUCUCCCAGGGUAAACUGCUCCAGGGGAUGCUCCUGGCCCCUCCCUCUUCUGCCAGCAUCUCUGGGUCUGGGUUUUGGAUUCCCUCCACCCCCCACGUGGCCAGUGCUGGUCCCCAGUGCUGGUUCUCCACCCCCACCCCGGCCCCCUGGCCUAGGGAGCACAGCCCCUGCUCCUCAGCGAAGAGAUGAUGCUUAAGGAUGAAACAUACACCAACACGUGCAUUUCCUGAGACUAGAGACGAUGCACUGCCUGCUUUACGAUGAACUAGCUCUUUGACUAAGGAGAUUUUUUUUUUUCUUUCUUUUCUGUUCUCCAGACCAUCCUCUUCCUUUCGGGUGCUUUUCACACCAAGACAUGGAAAUCACAGGGUAUGGGCAGUAUUUUUUCCCUUUAGAAAUCCUUUUUCAGGCAACUAUGUCAAGAAUGUUUUCAUACUUUGGGUUGGAUAGGGAGGGAGGAGGACACAAAAAAAGGCUUCAUCCCCCCAGAUGGGUAUUUCUCUGAAAACAGACAUGCAAAUGUUGGGCUUGUCAAACCCUAAAAUGUUUUCUUUCUUCUUGAGGACUGUGGCAUAUGGCCUGCUGGAGAUCUAGGGAAAGGAAGGAGCCUCGGUGGUUGGUGGAGAAGUGUGGGAAAGGGCGGGCGGAGGCACGUGCCAGGCUUCUGCUGUGUGGCAAGGACACUAACCAAUGUGCAUCCUGGAACUGCAUGGGCCCACCCUUGACUGAUAAAGACAGGAACCUACAGGUAAAUGCUUCCUCCUUUCGACCCUUGGGUGAGCAGUUCUGAGAUGCUUUUCAUAAAGCCCUUUGGGAGUUUCCAAGGAUUGGAGCACUGGGUCCCCAAGUGCAUGUUGCCACAGUCAUGCAUCCUUGGUGAGGCUCUCCCUUCUUCCCUGUUCCCCUUGCAACAGAACCUCCCUCCUGCCUCCAGGAGGGACCAUUACCCAAAUGAAUACCUGAUGGAGACCUUUCUUUCCAGCUCUGCUUUUGGAGGGAACUGCUAAGACAAUAUGCUUGAAUGGAACAGCUGCUCCUCUCACACUUGCUCAAGAGGGUAUGCCCUGUCCAGUCUCCCAGAGCUGUGUGGAGCUCAUGAGGCCAGGGCUAGCAGGUGGUAGGGAGUCCCAGGACUUGCAGAGGGACUCACUGCGGUGGACAAGUCUGUCUUGGGGUCUUGGCUGAGGAUGCUUCCCGGUCUAAUUAAAGACAGAUGAAGUCGGGGGUUGAGGGGGAGUUGCCAGGCCCUUGGGGACAUCAAGGGCCCUGCUCAUUUAGUCGCUUAAGUCCCCUGACUCUGGUCGGCUUCCCUCAGAGCAUGCCCACUGUAUGAAUACCAGAACAGAUGGCUUUCUGAUGAACUUAAUUACAUCAUUAGCAACUGGGCUACAAAAAUGGGUGAUUUGAGAGCGGCUGGGAAGCUGGAAGCCUUGCGGCCCCACGGCCGGGCAGCUGUUCCCGGGGCUGGCUGAACAUGCCUUUGCAGUGGGCUCCUUCCCAACCCCCACCCAGGCUGCCCCGUCACACCUCCUAUAGGCUGAGCUGUGCUCUCUGAUCCUGAGGCUUUCCCAACAGCCAUUCCCAGAACAGAUGGAAACGGAUCUCUUGGGGACCUCCAGCUGAUGCGGAUUUCACAGUGGGCGGAAGCAAGUGAGAGGGAGCAGAUAAGCCACCCCUUCCCACGGCCACUCGGGAGGCCACACUGGUUGUUCAGCUGUCCACCCUCAUUCCUUGUGCAACGGGUAGGGCUUGAAGUGGGGGGGGAUCCAUUUCAGGGGAGGUGAGCCUGGAAGCUAGGAAUAUGACAUGUCCCAGUCCCUUACGCUUUUAAACCUGAGCUCCAAGGAGCCGCAGGGGGCCAGAGACCCCUGAUCAUCCCUGCUGCAGCCAGCGCGGAGUUUCUUUCCAGCUUCAUUGGCGAGCACUGCUGCAGAAAAAGCUAGACCAGUCGUGAGUCCCUGAAAGCUCCCUCCCCCUCCUCUCACUUCCUGUCUUGUAGCCUCAGCUUUUUGCUGUCAUCCCAGUCUCCUUUCUGUGCAAGCACGGCUACCUCAUUCCUCAGAUGCCACUUUCUCCCGGCAGCUCUCCCCUUCUGCCUCCCCUCCCCCCAGUUUUAGCCGCAAUCCAGCCCUCCUUCCUCCGCGGUCUCCAAGCGUGUGUCCCGCAAAAAUACACCAGUCACUUUAUGCCCUCGAUCAUAA